rnacentral:misc_RNA from 1 species
GAUGAAGAACGUAGCGAAAUGCGAUAAGUAAUGUGAAUUGCAGAAUUCAGUGAAUCAUCGAAUCUUUGAACGCACAUUGCGCCCCCUGGUAUUCCGGGGGGCAUGCUUGUUCGAGCGUCAUUACAACCCUCAAGCUCUGCUUGGUAUUGGGCCCCGCCAGUUCUGGCGGGCCCUAAAGUCAGUGGCGGUGCCUUCCGGCUCCGAGCGUAGUAAUUCUUCUCGCUCUGGAGACCCGGUUGUGUGCUUGCCAACAACCCCCAAUUUUUUAAGGUUGACCUCGGAUCAGGUAGGGAUACCCGCUGAACUUAAGCAUAUCAAUAAGCGGAGGA